UACGUAGGGUGCAAGCGUUGUCCGGAAUUAUUGGGCGUAAAGAGCUCGUAGGCGGUCUGUCGCGUCUGCUGUGAAAACCUGGGGCUUAACCCCGGGCCUGCAGUGGGUACGGGCAGACUAGAGUGCGGUAGGGGAGACUGGAAUUCCUGGUGUAGCGGCGAAAUGCGCAGAUAUCAGGAGGAACACCGGUGGCGAAGGCGGGUCUCUGGGCCUGUACUGACGCUGAGGAGCGAAAGCGUGGGGAGCGAACAGG
rnacentral:rRNA from 1 species